rnacentral:rRNA from 1 species
GACGAACGCUGGCGGCGUGCUUAACACAUGCAAGUCGAACGAAGUGGCGAACGGGUGAGUAACGCGUAAUCAACCUGCCCUUCAGGGGGGGACAACAGUUGGCAACGACUGCUAAUACCGCAUACUGUAGGAGGGGAUUGCGUCGGAUUCGCUGGUUGGCUGGGUAACGGCCCACCAAGGCGAUGAUCAGUAGCCGGGCUGAGAGGAUUAACGGCCACAGUGGGACUGAGACACGGCCCAGACUCCUACCGGAGGCAGCAGGGGGGAAUCUUCCGCAAUGGACGAAAAUCUGACGGAGCAACGCCGCGUGAGUGAUGACGGCCUUCGGGUUGGAAAGCUCUGUUAAGCGGGACGCGGUACCGGAAUAGAAAGCCACGGCUAACUACGUGCCAGCAGCCGCGGUAAUAC